rnacentral:ncRNA from 2 species
AUCGUAGCAUGAGCGUCCGGCCUUGCUCUAUAAGUUAAAAGGGAAUCCAGUGUAAAUCUGGAGCUGACGCGCAGCGGUAAGGGGAAAUUGGGGGCAAUAGCAUUUUGCAGACACUGUCGUAUUACGAUGGGAAGUCAUUGUCUCUAUGUUGGCAACAACAGUACUCAAGUCCGAAGACCUGCCGGUAUACGUCGCAAUGU